rnacentral:rRNA from 1 species
UACAGAGGUCUCAAGCGUUGUUCGGAUUCAUUGGGCGUAAAGGGUGCGUAGGCGGCGCGGUAAGUCGGGUGUGAAAUCUCGGAGCUUAACUCCGAAACUGCAUUCGAUACUGCCGUGCUUGAGGACUGGAGAGGAGACUGGAAUUCCUGGUGUAGCGGUGAAAUGCGCAGAUAUCAGGAGGAACACCGAUGGCGAAGGCAGAUCUCUGGGCCGUAACUGACGCUGAGGUGCGAAAGCGUGGGGAGCAAACAGG